rnacentral:rRNA from 1 species
AAAUUGAAGAGUUUGAUCAUGGCUCAGAUUGAACGCUGGCGGCAGGCCUAACACAUGCAAGUCGAACGGUAACAGGAAGCAGCUUGCUGCUUUGCUGACGAGUGGCGGAUGGGUGAGUAAUGUCUGGGAAACUGCCUGAUGGAGGGGGAUAACUACUGGAAACGGUGGCUAAUACCGCAUAACGUCGCAAGACCAAAGAGGGGGACCUUCGGGCCUCUUGCCAUCAGAUGUGCCCAGAUGGGAUUAGCUUGUUGGUGAGGUAACGGCUCACCAAGGCGACGAUCCCUAGCUGGUCUGAGAGGAUGACCAGCCACACUGGAACUGAGACACGGUCCAGACUCCUACGGGAGGCAGCAGUGGGGAAUAUUGCACAAUGGGCGCAAGCCUGAUGCAGCCAUGCCGCGUGUAUGAAGAAGGCCUUCGGGUUGUAAAGUACUUUCAGCGGGGAGGAAGGUGUUGUGGUUAAUAACC